CUGGGCUGGCAGAGAGCUGGAUAAGGAGACAGACAGAGAGAAAGGACCUCCGAGAGCUGCUUUGAGACUGCUGAAGACAGCAACAAUUUCAGACUGUCAUUUCUGGUUGUCCUGGUUACUCCGAUGACUUUGCCCUGGCUCUGUGUGACCACUCAAAAGAACUGCCCAUAAGAAGACAGAUGGAGCCCCAGACCUCACACCCGAUACUUAUCUAAAGGAUGGGGAGAAAAUGCUGUCAAUCAGAUCCCCAAGGGACUUCGCUGAACCCAAGGAUUCCUGGGAGGUGGCCGUAAUGGACAGAUCACUGAUGACAUCUGCUGGUCUUCAAAGAAAGUAGGAUGGGAAUGCUUCAUGUUUGCAGUUUCAGCCCUGGGCCAAGGCUUUUUAUUUCAUAGUUUUGGAAGCAUAGCAACCUAAUGAAUAUAGCCAGACGCCCGGAAGUUAUUCAUGAUGAAAUACUUCACCGGUCCUUGAAGACUUGUGCCAGAAUCUCAACCCAGUCAUGAUAAUGGAGAGAAAUAAGGACAUCCUGUGGGGACCUACAGCUGGGCCAGCUGGGAUGGUCAGCCCACAUCUUCUUUCUUCUCAGCCCAGUAGUUCAAAGACUUAUCUAGUUCUUCAGUCAAAAAGUCUUAACUCCUGGACAAAGCUCCUCUACUUUCUUUUUUUUUCUUUUUUCUUUUUUUUUUCCAGACAGGGUUUCUCUGUGGCUUUGGAGGCUCUUGUAGAUCAGGGUGGUCUCGAACUCACAGAGAUUGGCCUGAGUACUGGGAUUAAAGGCAUGCGCCACCAACACCCAGCUUCCCUCUACUUUCUAUACUCGUUUUUUCCUUAUAAUAAAGCUCCUUGUUGAAUUUACUCUCCAUUGUUUGUGAAAUUCCCUCUUUGAGUUUGCAACACCAAGAACCUGGAAUAUCACUGAUUCUGUCGGGGUUUUAGUGACUGUGCUCCUGACCACUGAGUUAAACCCACUUGAGACUAG